rnacentral:rRNA from 1 species
AAUGAACGCUGGCGGCAGGCCUAACACAUGCAAGUCGAACGGGUCCUUCGGGACUAGUGGCGGACGGGUGAGUAACGCGUGGAACGUGCCCCUUGGUACGGAAUAGCCCUGGGAAACUGGGAGUAAUACCGUAUGUGGUCGAGAGACGAAAGAUUUAUCGCCAAGGGAUCGGCCCGCGUUGGAUUAGGUAGUUGGUGGGGUAAUGGCCUACCAAGCCGACGAUCCAUAGCUGGUUUGAGAGGAUGAUCAGCCACACUGGGACUGAGACACGGCCCAGACUCCUACGGAGGCAGCAGUGGGGAAUCUUAGACAAUGGGGGAAACCCUGAUCUAGCCAUGCCGCGUGAUCGAUGAAGGCCUUAGGGUUGUAAAGAUCUUUCAGGUGGGAAGAUAAUGACUGUACCACCAGAAGAAGCCCCGGCUAAACUCCGUGCCAGCAGCCGCGGUAAU